UUGAAUAUAAAAUAAAACAAUCCUAUUGGUUGGUGAACCUAGAGGUUCACCCUAGGGGGUGGACCUAAGAAUAAGUCUUUGUAAAGAGUCAUUCUUGGGUUCACCAACCAAUAAGAUUUCAUUAUUUCAAAUUUGAUAUCUUUUAAAAAAGGAAACAAAAUAUUCUCAAAUUAUAUUAUGUUUUCAAAAUAAAAAAUGUAAAAAAAGAUAAUAGUUACAGAAAAAAAAAUUAAAAAAAAAUAUAUUUUUAAUGUUCUCAACAAAACACUAAACCCUAAAUCUUAAUCCCUAAACCCUAAAUCCUAAACCCUAAACCCUUGGGUAAACCCUAAACCCUUAGGUAAACCCUAAACCCUUGGAUAAAUCCUAAACUCUAAAUAAAAAACACUAAAACUCUAAAAUCCUAAAACCCUAAACCCUAAACGCUUGAAUGUUUUAGUGUAUAGUGAUUUUGAUUUAGAGUUUAGGAUUUAUCCUAGAGUUUAGGAUUUAUCCUAGAGUUUAGGGUUUAGGAUUAAGAGUUUAGGGAUUAGAAUUUAGGGUUUAGGGUUUAAUGUUAUGCUGACGACGUAAAAUAUUUUUUUUGUAAUUAUUACUAUUUUUUUAUCUUUUAAUUUUAAAAACAUAAUAUAAUUUGACAAUAUUUUGUUUCAUUUUUUAAAAGAUAUUGAAUAUAAAAUAAAACAAUCCUAUUGGUUGGUGAACCUAGAGGUUCACCCUAGGGGGUGGACCUAAGAAUAAGUCUUUGUAAAGAGUCAUUCUUGAGUCAUUCUUGGGUUCACCCCCUAGGGUGAACCUCUAGGUUCACCAACCAAUAGGAUUUCAUUAUUUCAAAUUUGAUAUCUUUUAAAAAAGGAAACAAAAUAUUCUCAAAUUAUAUUAUGUUUUCAAAAUAAAAAAAGUAAAAAAAGAUAAUAGUUACAGAAAAAAAAAUUAAAAAAAAAUAUAUUUUUAAUGUUCUCAACAAAACACUAAACCCUAAAUCUUAAUCCCUAAACCCUAAAUCCUAAACCCUAAACCCUUGGGUAAACCCUAAACCCUUGGGUAAACCCUAAACCCUUGGAUAAAUCCUAAACUCUAAAUAAAAAACACUAAAACUCUAAAAUCCUAAAACCCUAAACCCUAUACGCUUGAAUGUUUUAGUGUAUAGUGAUUUUGAUUUAGAGUUUAGGAUUUAUCCUAGAGUUUAGGAUUUAUCCUAGAGUUUAGGGUUUAGGAUUAAGAGUUUAGGGAUUAGAAUUUAGGGUUUAGGGUUUAAUGUUAUGCUGACGACGUAAAAUAUUUUUUUUGUAAUUAUUACUAUUUUUUUAUCUUUUAAUUUUAAAAACAUAAUAUAAUUUGACAAUAUUUUGUUUCCUUUUUUAAAAGAUAUUGAAUAUAAAAUAAAACAAUCCUAUUGGUUGGUGAACCUAGAGGUUCACCCUAGGGGGUGGACCUAAGAAUAAGUCUUUGUAAAGAGUCAUUCUUGGGUUCACCAACCAAUAAGAUUUCAUUAUUUCAAAUUUGAUAUCUUUUAAAAAAGGAAACAAAAUAUUCUCAAAUUAUAUUAUGUUUUCAAAAUAAAAAAUGUAAAAAAAGAUAAUAGUUACAGAAAAAAAAAUUAAAAAAAAAUAUAUUUUUAAUGUUCUCAACAAAACACUAAACCCUAAAUCUUAAUCCCUAAACCCUAAAUCCUAAACCCUAAACCCUUGGGUAAACCCUAAACCCUUAGGUAAACCCUAAACCCUUGGAUAAAUCCUAAACUCUAAAUAAAAAACACUAAAACUCUAAAAUCCUAAAACCCUAAACCCUAAACGCUUGAAUGUUUUAGUGUAUAGUGAUUUUGAUUUAGAGUUUAGGAUUUAUCCUAGAGUUUAGGAUUUAUCCUAGAGUUUAGGGUUUAGGAUUAAGAGUUUAGGGAUUAGAAUUUAGGGUUUAGGGUUUAAUGUUAUGCUGACGACGUAAAAUAUUUUUUUUGUAAUUAUUACUAUUUUUUUAUCUUUUAAUUUUAAAAACAUAAUAUAAUUUGACAAUAUUUUGUUUCAUUUUUUAAAAGAUAUUGAAUAUAAAAUAAAACAAUCCUAUUGGUUGGUGAACCUAGAGGUUCACCCUAGGGGGUGGACCUAAGAAUAAGUCUUUGUAAAGAGUCAUUCUUGAGUCAUUCUUGGGUUCACCCCCUAGGGUGAACCUCUAGGUUCACCAACCAAUAGGAUUUCAUUAUUUCAAAUUUGAUAUCUUUUAAAAAAGGAAACAAAAUAUUCUCAAAUUAUAUUAUGUUUUCAAAAUAAAAAAAGUAAAAAAAGAUAAUAGUUACAGAAAAAAAAAUUAAAAAAAAAUAUAUUUUUAAUGUUCUCAACAAAACACUAAACCCUAAAUCUUAAUCCCUAAACCCUAAAUCCUAAACCCUAAACCCUUGGGUAAACCCUAAACCCUUGGGUAAACCCUAAACCCUUGGAUAAAUCCUAAACUCUAAAUAAAAAACACUAAAACUCUAAAAUCCUAAAACCCUAAACCCUAUACGCUUGAAUGUUUUAGUGUAUAGUGAUUUUGAUUUAGAGUUUAGGAUUUAUCCUAGAGUUUAGGAUUUAUCCUAGAGUUUAGGGUUUAGGAUUAAGAGUUUAGGGAUUAGAAUUUAGGGUUUA
rnacentral:lncRNA from 1 species